AUUGAACGCUGGCGGCAGGCCUAACACAUGCAAGUCGAACGAGUGGCGGACGGGUGAGUAAUGUCUGGGAAACUGCCCGAUGGAGGGGGAUAACUACUGGAAACGGUAGCUAAUACCGCAUACCAUCGGAUGUGCCCAGAUGGGAUUAGCUAGUAGGUGGGGUAAAGGCUCACCUAGGCGACGAUCCCUAGCUGGUCUGAGAGGAUGACCAGCAACACUGGAACGGAGAAACGGUCCAGACUCCUAGGGGGGGAAGCAGUGGGGAAUAUUGACCAAUGGGCGCAAGCCUGAUGCAGCCUUGCGGGGUGUAUGAAGAAGGCCUUCGGGUGGUAAAGUACUUGCAGCGAGGAGGCGUUACUCGCAGAAGAAGCACCGGCUAACUCCGUGCCAGCAGCCGAGGUAAUA
rnacentral:rRNA from 1 species